rnacentral:sRNA from 1 species
AACACGUUGGCUCUUUCUGCCGUCUGAGACUGUGUGAUGUGCUGAAGCCAAGAAGAGAUAAAUGGUACAAGGCUGACAUGGGAGCAUCCAUCACUGACUACCAGGUUGCUACUCCCAGCUCCUGUCUUCGCAUCUGCAUACCAACCAGUAAGAAGAGGAGAAGGAGCAAGGAGAGCACAUAACUUUCCUUUUAAGGACACAACUAGGCAAGAUGCCAUGUUGUGAGCUGCUCUGUGGAGGGGGACCUGUGGCGAGGAACUGAGGGCAGCCAGCAGGCAACAGCCAGCUGCCAUGUUGUGAGUAGCCCUAUGGAGGGGCCCACAUGGCAAGGAACUGACAUCUUUGGUCAACAGUCAGUGAGGACUUAAGGCUGCCAAUAGCCACAUGAGGGAGCUUGGAAGCAGAUCUUCCCCCAGUGGAGCCUUGAGAUGACUGCAGUCUGGCUGACACCUUGAUUGUUGCCUUCUGGGAGACCUUGAGGUGGGGGACCCAGCUAAGCUGCCCAGCUUCCUGACCGGCAGAAACUGGGAGACAAUAAAUGUUGGUGUUUUAAGCCACUACAUUUU